rnacentral:rRNA from 1 species
GUGAGGAAUAUUGGUCAAUGGGCGGGAGCCUGAACCAGCCAAGUCGCGUGAAGGAAGAAGGAUCUAUGGUUCGUAAACUUCUUUUGCAGGGGAAUAAAGUGCAGGACGUGUCCUGUUUUGUAUGUACCCUGAGAAUAAGGAUCGGCUAACUCCGUGCCAGCAGCCGCGGUAAUACGGAGGAUCCGAGCGUUAUCCGGAUUUAUUGGGUUUAAAGGGUGCGUAGGUGGUUUGAUAAGUCAGCGGUGAAAGUUUGCAGCUUAACUGUAAAAAUGCCGUUGAAACUGUCGGACUUGAGUGUAAAUGAGGUAGGCGGAAUGCGUUGUGUAGCGGUGAAAUGCAUAGAUAUCACGCAGAACUCCGAUUGCGAAGGCAGCUUACUAAGCUACAACUGACACUGAAGCACGAAAGCGUGGGGAUCAAACAGGAUUAGAAAACCGAGUAGUCC